UGAGGUGAUCAAUAAGGUAUAUGGGUUUAAGAUCUGUUUUUAUGAUUUUCUGUAAAUCUUUGGGGUUAAAAUACUAUGAUUCUAUAAUUUUAUUGGUAGAUAGAAAUAGAAACAUCAAACAUGAUUAGGUUUAUGACUUAGAUAUCCUAAGUUAUGUGUUACAUGAAACAGUUCAAGAAGUGAUACAUAGAUAUCCAUUGAAGAUGAGGCUGAUAGGUUGAUUAGAGUAUGGUAAUUCCUGCAAAUCUGAUAAUAUUCAGAUAUUGGAGUUGGAUUCUUUUUGCUUGUUUUUGUGUUGCAUUGUAUGUCGAAAUAAACUUGUUGGAUUUAAUCUAAUUUUAGCAUUUUUUCAGAGAUUUGAAGGUGGGUGUUAGUCAUGAUUUUAAAGGUUUUAGAUAUUUUUGUGACUGAUUUCAUAAUUAAUUCUUCGGAGAUUCUGUAGUGUUAUUAUCUUAUUUUCGUGAUUGAAAAUGAUUGCGUUUGUUCUCGAGUAUUGGCAUUUAUUUUGAUUUGAUUUUUAUUUUGAUUCGCUUUUUUUAAAGUAUUCCAGAGUUGUAAAACCCUGCUUUCCAAACGGAAUUUUAAUAUAACGAAAUGACUUGUAUCACGUAUCCUCCCAUUGGUGCACGCACCUGGCACCUUCAAUGACACUCGUAGUUUGGUUGGUUGUCGUUCCAAUUGCUU
rnacentral:lncRNA from 1 species